CAUGCUGCCCGGCGGGGGCUGGGGGAGGGGCAGGCCCACGAGCGCUGAAUCAGCUGCUCCCGCUGCUCCCAUGUCGCCCUGUCCCCUCCCGGGCAAAGAUGCUGGUGGCGGGGGGCGGGGGGUGAGGGGCUCCCUUCGGGGAGCUGUCAGACGACUGGGGAUUUUCUGGAAAGUGGCUCCUGCAGGAGCCGGGCCUCCUGGGAGUGAGAGAGUGAGAGGAAGGGCCUUCCCGGAAGAGAGGGCCCUUCCAGACAACACCGAAGACGGAGAAGCCGGCGGCCGGCCUGCGCGCAGGGAAGGAAGCGGCUCCCUCCUGAAGGCGCUGAGUCAGCACGGAGCCAGCGCCUGCCACCCUCCCUCGUCCAAUCAGGCGCCGCAGGGACAGGGACCUCUCAAGGUCAGGAACGCCAACAUCCGCAGCGGGCGGGUCCUGGGGGAUGGCCCUUCCUCCGCAGCGGCCUGGGGGUCACGCUCCGGUCCAGAGCUGGGCCGCGCCUGCCCCAGCCACCCGCCCGCCUGGGUGAGGCUGCCCCCCCUCCGCAGGGCCGGCCCCCCGGGGAGUCGGCGUGGGGGGGGAACCACGCAGGGUCUGACGGCCCCUGGAGGCACCAUCUCGUCCCGGGGCUGCCAGAGGUGGCUGCAGGCUGCAGGGACAAAGAGGACAUCGGGUACUGGCCCCCUGUCCACCUCUGCCGGGGGCCGGGGCCUGGACAGCAAAUAAGCAUCUGGCUUCUGGAAACUCCCCUUCUUGCCGCGGCCUCCCUCCCACUGUGGGCUGCCUCCCCCUGGCUGGGGUCGCUCAGCAGAGGGACAGGCUGGAAAGGCAGCCUGGCUCCUGGGCUUGGCGUCCGAGGGGCUGCCAGCACCUGGUGUGAAGAAAGCACGACUCCACCCCUGCUCUUUGUUAGACGGAAGCCCCUCGGCCCUCCUCCACCACUCCCUCCUCUGGCUGCAGCUUUAGCGGCGGCGGCGGCUUCUGCCCCGGCCCUGACCUCCUGACCUCCGCCUUGACACCUGCUGCCCUCCAGAUACUCCGCUCCCGCCAGGGAUCUCCGUGCAAACCUGCCCAUCCUCCUGCCAGACCUCGCCCCCCGCCCCCACGGGCACUGCCCCCCCGCCCGCCCUGGGCCAGCCUCCUGCUCUGUGGCCGCUGUGCUGCCGCCCCCCCCUCCCAAAUCACCGCUGUCUAGGGGCCGCCUCCCCUCCCAGCAGAGGCACAGCUCCCCUGGGACACAGGGUGGACACAGCCAGCUCCCGACCUGCGGCACCCAGGGGUCCGGGGACCCCUCCUGGACAGCACCCGAGCAGGUGACCGGAGCACUGCACACCCACACAGCCUCUGCCUUCCCGCGGCAGCCGGCUCAGCACGUGCUCUUUGAAAAUGGAGAGGCCAUGCGAGGGGGCCUGUGGAAGAGGCAGGAAGCGGGCAUCCCCGAGGUUCCGGCAUGGUGAGGACAAGUCUGGGACAGUGCCAGCCACUGCCACCUGCUGCCAGUGCAGCCAGCGUGCCCGCGGGUGGUCUCACGUUUGGUUCACUCCUGUGCCUGGAUCCACCUUCCCCACAUCGCCUGGAGCCCGUGAGAAGUGAAGACCCCAGGCCCAGGUCUGGGGACAAGGGGGCCGCCUGGGAAGCAGUGCGCCCACCUGAGCCUCGAAGGCCUUGUCAGACAAAAUGCAACACCCAAGGGUCCUCGCUGCUUGGGGGGUGGGGGGCCCCAGGCUUUCACAAGGAUUUUACCAACUCUGCCAUCGAAAGCUAAACCCCAAAAGGACUUUUUUUUUUAAUGAGAGUUGCAAUGUUUAUUUCAGGUUCU